rnacentral:tRNA from 1 species
AGCAGUGUGGCUUAAUGGAAAGUGUAUAGGCCUGGAAGUCUAGAGGACCUGGGUUCUAAUCCCAGCUCUGUCA